rnacentral:rRNA from 1 species
AACAAACGCUGGCGGCGUGCCUAACACACGCAAGUCGUACGAGAAAGGGUCCUUCGGGGCCUGAGUAAAGUGGCGCACGGGUGAGUAACGCGUGGAUAAUCUGCCCUUCAGUUGGGAAUAACUCAUCGAAAGGUGGGCUAAUACCGAAUAAUGCUGUGAGACCUCGGUUGAUCAGCCAAAGAGAGCCUCUGCUUGCAAGCCCUCGCUGAAGGAUGAGUCCGCGUACCAUUAGCUAGUUGGUAGGGUAAUGGCCUACCAAGGCGACGAUGGUUAGCUGGGCUGAGAGGAUGAUCAGCAACACUGGAACUGAGACACGGUCCAGACUCCUACGGGAGGCAGCAGUGAGGAAUCUUGCGCAAUGGGGGCGACCCUGACGCAGCAACGCCGCGUGAGUGAGGAAGGUCUUCGGAUCGUAAAGCUCUGUCGGAUGGAAAGAACCGCAUAGGGGUAAACAGCCCCUGUGUCUGACAGUACCAUCAAAGGAAGCACCGGCUAACUCCGUGCCAGCCGCCGCGGUAAGAC